CCUACGGGAGACAGCAGUGGGGAAUAUUGGGCAAUGGGCGCAAGCCUGACCCAGCAACGCCGCGUGAAGGAAGAAGGCUCUCGGGUUGUAAACUUCUUUUCGCAGGGACGAAGAAAGUGACGGUACCUGCGGAAUAAGCCUCGGCUAACUACGUGCCAGCAGCCGCGGUAAUACGUAGGGCGCAAGCGUUAUGCGGAUUUAUUGGGUGUAAAGGGCGUGUAGGCGGGAGGGCAAGUCAGAUGGGAAAACUCAGGGGACCACCCUGGGCCUGCAUUUGAAACUGUAUUUCUUGAGUGCUGGAGAGGCAAGCGGAAUGCGGGGUGUAGCGGUGAAAUGCGUAGAUAUACGGAGGAACACCAGUGGCGAAGGCGGAAUACUGGAGAGUAACUGACGCUGAGGCACGAAAGCGUGGGGAGCGAACAGGAUUAGAUACCCUAGUAGUC
rnacentral:rRNA from 1 species